rnacentral:rRNA from 1 species
UACAGAGGGUGCAAGCGUUGUUCGGAAUUAUUGGGCGUAAAGCGCGUGUAGGCGGUUUUUCAAGUCGGGUGUGAAGGCCCUCAGCUUAACUGAGGAAGUGCGCCCCGAAACUGGGAGACUUGAGUUCCGGAGAGGAUGGCGGAAUUCCCCAAGUAGAGGUGAAAUUCGUAGAUAUGGGGAGGAACACCGGUGGCGAAGGCGGCCGAUC